rnacentral:misc_RNA from 1 species
AACGCACCUUGCACCAUAUGAGCAAUCGUAUGGUAUACCUGUUUGAGAAUCGUAAAAACCCACUCCUACCCUUGGGUAGGGAAGUGUCGGUUUGAGCCAAACUCAAUCUGAUCAAAAGUAGUAGGUCUAGUCAGGCUAGUGGCCUGGGACAUUGUGUGCUAGAGACGUCGCCCUCGGGUAACUGUCUUCUCACGAUGCGUCCUGGGCUAUUCAAGCUGGUCUGGCGUCGGCCUCUCAGUGGUAGCCUCACGGUUGCCACACCCCCCCUUUUUGAUCUCAAAUCAGGUAAGGCUACCCGCUGAACUUAA